rnacentral:miRNA from 8 species
GGGUGGGCAGGCACACGUGUG